AACAAUACCAAUACAACAUUAACAACAACAACAACAACAACAACAGCUACAAAAUGUCCAACACCUGCCAAAGCUACUCAUCCGUGUUCAUACUCCUAGGCACAUUGCUAUCCAUUUUGGUAGCCGCCCAGAGUGCGCCAGUUUCCUCAACGACAAAAGCCGAGAUCUACCUGUCGCAGUUUGGCUACCUGCCGGCCUCGGCUCGCAAUCCGGAGAACAGCGGGCUGCAGGAUAAGCGCACAUGGGUGAACGCCAUACAGGAAUUCCAGAGUUUUGCUGGACUCAACAUCACCGGCGAACUGGAUGAGGAGACGAUGAAAUUGAUGUCACUGCCACGUUGUGGUGUCAGGGAUCGAGUCGGCACUGGCGACGGUCGAUCCAAGCGCUAUGCCCUCCAGGGCAGUCGCUGGCGUGUGAAGAACCUCACCUAUAAAAUCUCCAAGUACCCGAAGCGUUUGAAGCGCAACGAUGUCGAUGCGGAGAUUGCACGUGCCUUCGCUGUCUGGAGCGAGGAUACCGAUCUAACCUUCACCAGAAAGACAUCGGGCCCCGUGCACAUUGAGAUCAAAUUUGUUGAAAGCGAGCAUGGAGAUGGCGAUGCCUUCGAUGGACAGGGCGGCACUUUGGCCCAUGCUUUCUUCCCCGUUUUUGGUGGCGAUGCGCAUUUCGAUGAUGCCGAAUUGUGGACCAUUGGAUCGCCGCGUGGCACAAAUCUGUUCCAGGUUGCUGCUCACGAAUUUGGUCACUCCUUGGGCCUGUCGCAUUCGGAUCAGAGCUCAGCGCUGAUGGCGCCAUUCUAUCGUGGCUUUGAGCCCGUCUUCAAGCUGGACGAGGAUGACAAGGCAGCGAUACAAUCGCUGUAUGGACGCAAGACGAGUCAGCUGACGCCCACCAAUGCCUUCCCGCCCACCACGCACAGACCAUCGUACACGCCGCCCAAGGUGCCUCUGGAUGACUCCAUUUGCAAGGACUCCAAGAUAGACACGCUGUUCAACUCGCCGACCGGCGAAACGUACGCAUUUAAGGGCGAUAAAUACUACAAGCUGACAACGGACUCCGUUGAGGAUGGCUAUCCGAAGCUCAUAUCCAAGGGCUGGCCAGGAUUGCCCGGCAAUAUCGAUGCUGCAUUUACGUACAAGAACGGCAAAACGUACUUCUUCAAGGGCACUCAGUACUGGCGCUACCAGGGCACCCAAAUGGAUGGUGCGUAUCCCAAGGAGAUUAGCGAGGGCUUCACCGGCAUUCCAGAUCACUUGGACGCAGCAAUGGUUUGGGGCGGCAACGGCAAGAUCUACUUCUUCAAGGGAAGCAAGUUCUGGCGCUUCGAUCCCUCCAAGCGGCCACCCGUCAAGGCCACCUACCCCAAGCCCAUCUCCAACUGGGAGGGCGUGCCGAACAAUCUGGAUGCGGCGCUCCGAUACACCAAUGGCUACACCUACUUCUUCAAGGGCGACAAGUACUAUCGCUUCCACGAUGCACGCUUUGCGGUGGAUACGGCAACGCCGGCAUUCCCGAGACCAACGGCGCACUGGUGGUUCGGCUGCAAGAACACGCCCUCGUCCACAGGUAAUAUUAUUGAGGAUGAUCGAGAGGAGUCUGAGCAGCGCUCACAGCUAUAUGCUGAUGAUGGUAAUGGUGAUAUUGACCUAGAAGCAGUACCGCGGUUCCCAAAUACGAAUCCAAAUACGAAUACGAAUACGGUGCCGGGUACGGGCAUGGGUCUGCUGCCCGGCUGGAUGUGGAGUCUGACGAACCGUUACUUUUAAAGAGCGCACGCAACCUCCAACUCCAGAGUUCCUUCAGAGUUUCGUGUUUUCUGUUCACCAACAACAACAACAAGUACUACAACAGCAACAACUAUAUACAUAACUGUGCUAAUAUCCUAUAUAUAUAUAUUUAUAUAUACAUAUGAACACUGUUUGUAUUAGUAACGAUACAAAGCGCGUGCCUUAAGUUGUAUUACGUCCAUAUACAUAACUCUAUGCCUGCUUGAGUGAUCUCUGUCUCAAAGUAAAGUCACAAAAUAUAUAAUAUAUAAAUAAUUAAAAAGAACCACACACACAUACACACCCAAAACACAUACAAAUGCGACGCCCAGAAAUAAAAGCCUGCGUCGCUGCCGCCAUUGAAAAAACCGCCCAGAAUACAGUCAAGCAAACGACAAAAUUCAAUAACGAAUCAACUUAAAAACAUUUGCGCACAGAGUGGAACAUCGGUGAUCACCAAACCAAUGAUGAGCCCAUCGAGCCCGAAAAGUCGGAACGAACUGGAUCUGGUGCG
rnacentral:misc_RNA from 1 species